rnacentral:rRNA from 1 species
GACGAACGCUGGCGGCGUGCUUAACACAUGCAAGUCGAACGGAAAGGCCCUGCUUUUGUGGGGUGCUCGAGUGGCGAACGGGUGAGUAACACGUGAGUAACCUGCCCUUGACUUUGGGAUAACUUCAGGAAACUGGGGCUAAUACCGGAUAGGAGCUCCUGCUGCAUGGUGGGGGUUGGAAAGUUUCGGCGGUUGGGGAUGGACUCGCGGCUUAUCAGCUUGCUGGUGGGGUAGUGGCUUACCAAGGCUUUGACGGGUCGCCGGCCUGGGAGGGUGACCGGCCACAUUGGGCCUGAGAUACGGCCCAGACUCCUACGGGAGGCAGCAGUGGGGAAUAUUGCACAAUGGGCGGAAGCCUGAUGCAGCAACGCCGGGUUCGGGAUGACGGCCUUCUGGUUGUAAACCGCUUUCGCCUGUGACGAAGCGUGAGUGACGGUAAUGGGUAAAGAAGCACCGGCUAACUACGUG